rnacentral:rRNA from 1 species
GCGGGCGCGACUACCAUGCAGUCGAACGGUAACAGGAAGCAGCUUGCUGCUUCGCUGACGAGUGGCGGACGGGUGAGUAAUGUCUGGGAAACUGCCCGAUGGAGGGGGAUAACUACUGGAAACGGUAGCUAAUACCGCAUAAUGUCGCAAGACCAAAGAGGGGGACCUUCGGGCCUCUUGCCAUCGGAUGUGCCCAGAUGGGAUUAGCUUGUUGGUGAGGUAACGGCUCACCAAGGCGACGAUCCCUAGCUGGUCUGAGAGGAUGACCAGCCACACUGGAACUGAGACACGGUCCAGACUCCUACGGGAGGCAGCAGUGGGGAAUAUUGCACAAUGGGCGCAAGCCUGAUGCAGCCAUGCCGCGUGUAUGAAGAAGGCCUUCGGGUUGUAAAGUACUUUCAGCGGGGAGGAAGGGGAUGUGGUUAAUAACCGCAUUCAUUGACGUUACCCGCAGAAGAAGCACCGGCUAACUCCGUGCCAGCAGCCGCGGUAAUACGGAGGGUGCAAGCGUUAAUCGGAAUUACUGGGCGUAAAGCGCACGCAGGCGGUCUGUCAAGUCGGAUGUGAAAUCCCCGGGCUCAACCUGGGAACUGCAUUCGA